CCACCGUCCAGCAGCCGCACCUUGCAGAAGAGGAUCCCAUUGACGAAGGGCACCGAGGAGAGAUCGUCCAGUUCCAGCUCCACGCGGAAUUUGAACUUCUUUUUCUUCAUCAUCAUGAAAGCCAUGCGGGCCGUCGUUUCUUCGGCCCUUGUGACCAGGCAAUGCAGGGGAGGAGGAAAAGCAGCAGGAGGAGGGUGGGCGAAGAAAGAGGGAGAGGGAAGAAAACACGCCCGCCCGCGCGCUGUCUUCACCCUAGGCAGGCGGCGCGGGCGCUCUGCUACGACAUGCGUCUUGCUGCGCCCGCCCCAACGAGCGAAGGAGACGCCGGCCGCAAACCGCCCGCGUUCAAACCAGCCCGCCGCCUCCUCUCCCCCGGACGGGCUCUCUGGAGGGGAGGGGCGGUCUGUUCCCCAGAAGGCUUCUUCUCUGCCCUCCUGCGGCGUCAGUCCGUCGAGUCACGAGGGGCCCCCGCCGAGUGACGGGAGCGCUCUCCCCUUUCUCGGGGUGGGCGCCCCUGCCAGCUCUAGCCGGCACCGAAGGUUCCUGGGGGUGAAAAAAGUGGCGCGGUCGGUCGGUCGGCCGGCCGGCCGGCCCGGCGCGCGCCAGGCAGCGAAUCCCUGGGCGCUCAUCCGUAGCAAUACCCCCGCCAGCUGCAGUAGGACCCCAUAAGGACCCCGGGCGGGUUUUUAGGCGUAAAGAAAGAAAUGGUGAGGCUCUUGGGGGGGGGGAGAUAGGCCUGCAACCCAGGUGUUGCAAUGAUGUUACUCAUUUCCUGACCAGCGGUGACCUCACAGAUUUCAGAGGUACGAGAGAAACAAGAUUUCAACUAUAGGCAUAUCUCCAGCCAAACGACAAGGCCCCAUCACGCUUUGGGUGCAAUUCUGCAUUCUUUCUUCCCGGAAUAGUAUAAAUUCCCUUGCAUUUAGUGACCCCUUCCGUGUUUAGGAUUGAUGCUUUUUAUGCUUUAUAUAUUGAGGCGUUUCCUCCAUGCACUAAUGAUGUUUAAUCUUUAUUCACAAUUCAUUUAGAAUAAUAAUUCCGGGUUCCAUAUUCGGAGACACUGGUGCAACUUAGAAUUACUGUUCACUUAAAAAUGCUAAUUAAAAAUCUUGGCAAACCUGA